AAUGGUCACCAAAUGGAAUGUUGUAAACCUGUAUUCUGAAGUCACAGAGAAUAUUGGAAUGCUGCCUUUAGGGCAGCAUUUCUCAAACUUGACAACUGUACACCAAACUUGACACCAGGGCCUGGUGGCUCAGCAGACUGAUAGCAUUGUGAUUAACACCAGCUGUCUGCAAUUACCAUUCUACAUUUAUAAAAGCUUGGAAGACAUUCAGAGGAAAAUGUGAUCAUGUAAAGCUUCUGUCUCCAUGUUAAGCUAUCAUACAUUGCAUUCUGUAGAAGCCAUCUCCAUCCGAUAGUCUUCAUAUCUGUUGGGAUUCCAGCUCCCUUAAUUCUUAAAGCUGGCCAUACUAACUGGGAGUUCUGCAAAGUGUAAUUACUAUGAAGCUUGAGUCAUGUGCAAAGGAAAUUGAAUGCGCUUUUAGUGCUAUAAAUCCAGUAAUAUCUCACAGCUACCCCAUCUUUUCUUCUUGAAGCAAUAAGAAGAGAGUUGCAAUAGAAGGUUACCAUAUUAGCUUGCCUUGUAAUAUUUUAAGGAGGCAGGUUAAUGGCACAAUAAAACCUAUGUUGAAAAAUGUC